GCCAGAGAUGCAGAAGCUUUGUGUGUACAUGGGACAAUGGCUCAUGCACCUCAAUGGCAGGGCUCCCAUAUGUCCUUUCUUUUCCUCCCUAUGGGGGCUGGGAGGUGGCUCAGGAGGAUACCAUGCUCCACACUGGCUACAAAGCAGAGGUGGAGUCCAGGAGGGCAAGAUUAAGGGACCAGAGGACAGGCUAAGCCAGGGAAAUGAUGUCGAGCCAGAAGCAGUGACAUUAGUAAGAAUUCUAUGCAAGUAAGGGAAAAGGUCACAGAUAUUGAGAUGAGGCGACACAGGAGCUGGGGAAAAAAAGAUGUGGUCCAGGGGAGGAAGAGAAUAAAGAUGGGAGUGGGACAUCAAUCUCAGAAUCAUCUGUGUGUCACGAUUACUGCCAUACAGGAUAAUGGGGAAGGCAAAACAGAAGGAAGGCUCAAACAUGAACCAUAAAACUAUAACGGAGAAGGUGAUCAUUUGGGCUCUGGACUUACAGCUACUCCAUUUGCAAUGUGACCUGCAAUUACUAAAUGCUUCCACUAGGAGGCAGUGUGACUGGUGGGUGAGGAAUUGUAAGAGUUUAUAGAAAUAACAAAAAUUAGAGAGAAAGAGAGAGAUUGAGAUUGAUUCUGUGGGCAUACCUGUAUGCCUUUUUAAGUCAGAGUCAAACCUUGAGAUCCAUUCUGUGCCAUCACCUUUAAAAAAUAUUUGUUUGAGACAGGGUCUCUCACUGACCUGAAGCUUGCUAAGAAUGCUAGGCUGGUGUCCAGAAAGCCUUAGGAAUCAGUCUGUCUUUACUUUCACAGUACUGGGAUUAUAAGCAUACACUACUAUGCCCAGCUUUAAUUCAUGGGGUCUGAACUCAAGGGUCUCAUGCUUGCAAGGCAAACAUUUUGCCAACUGAGCUAGCUCCCAAGUCUGGAAAAAGAAAAUUUUAUGUGAACGUCUUCUAUGCCUUGAAAACAUUUCAUCACUGGUUAAUAGGAUGUAGUGAUACUGUGAGCUUUUAGCUGUCACAAAAUGACAUGAUGCCCAGGAAUAAAGCGAGGUACUUUUGCCAUCCCACCCAGAUGAUAAUGCUGUCUAAGACUAUAUGUCUUGAGGAACAGCAGGCUCUUCGGUAACAACGGCUGCCAUCACUGGAGGCAUGCCAGCACUGUUCUAAAGACUUCACAAGAACUAACUCACUCUACCCUGAGGGUAGCCCAUUCAUAAAUACCACUUCUGGUUAACAAUUGAGGACACCGAGGUGGGAAGCUUUGGAAACAGCUGAGUUGGAGUUGUAUCUCAGGCGGUAAGUACUUACCUUGCCUGCACAAUACCCUGCAUUCAAUCUUUGGCAUUGCAGAAAACCAGGCAUGGGGGUACAUGCCUAUGAUACCCCAGCACAUCCAGAGGCAGAUGUGGGAGGAUCAAGUUCAAGGUAAUCCUUGGCUACAGGGUAACUUUGAGGCCAGCCUUGGCUACCCGAGACUCUAGCAACAACAUAGACCAGAACUGAGUGUUGAAUGCCAGCAAUCUACACAACCAGCACAAGAGGACUCUUCAGCUGGUUCUUUUUCCAGUUCUUGCUGGAGGCCAGUGGUCCUAGGCUGACCUCAUCGCAGUUCAAGGGACAGAAGGACCCUUCUUAUAAGAUUGGGUAUCUGUGGGAACUGGAUAUGCUCUCCUCAGAUCUGCUCUCAGAUUCAGGUACAGAUGUUCUAACAACAUAUUUCACUGGCCCCAGCGGCUUGUCCUGUAACUAGGAUCAGGGUGUGCUUGUCUCUUAAAAGUUGCAAAAACCCUUCUGCUCAUUUUUAAAAAUAGAAAUGAGAAGAAACAAAUUCCACUGAGAGUCAAUUCAAUAAGAAGUUGGAUGUUUGUUGACUGAAUCAGGGAUGGCUUCAGAUGACAAUCUUUUCGACUGCCGGACUCUCUCCAUCUCUCUCAGCAUCCAUCCGAUAAGACAGGCUGCUCCUUUGUAGCCAGGGGCUAGCUAUGGAUUCUCUGAAACUCCUGAGAGUUUGCACUAAGGGCAGAAUGGUCAAAGCCUCAGAAAAGUGCUGGCCUACAGAGGGUUCCAGAGCCUUCCCUGUGAACCCAAAGAGCAGGCUGGGCAAUCACCAGCUCAGUGCCCCAGGGAACAGGCUCUGCUUGCAGGGGGUGUGGAGGGAGAAGGGGAAAAAUAAGGCAGAGACUUGGGGGAGAUCCAGGCAAAACAGUUAAGGAUGCUUCAGGCUGGGGAGAAACGUAGACAAUGAGAGACCACGAACUACAUCUUCAGCAUCUUGGGGUUCUUGUUCUUUUCUUAGAAAGAUGCACAGGAAAACAAGCUUUCAUAUAAUCUCAGAAAUAUACAACAAAAACAAAACCCAAAAAGACUUCCCUGAAGUGCCUCCAUACCACGGAGACACAGAGGCCUCGAGUCAAGCUGAGCAGGGUCUUCCUAACCUCUUUAUUUCAGGCAGGAAGCUGAGGCCCAGAGAUCAAGUCCCCUUUAAAAGCUCACAGAGUUAGUUAGUCAUGGCAGAAUUGGACCAAACCCGGUCCCUGGGCGUCUAGGAGACACAUGCCCCUUUCUAAGACCCCACACAGCAGCAGUGCCGCAUGGCAGCCACAGCUUUGUAGACUUGGUGCUCAUGACGGUGAGGCCAUGAUGGAGGUGCUUCUUCUUUGGCCAAGUGUGGAAUGCAUGUUGGUUUCCUUAGUAACAAGGAUCUCUGGAUGGCCAGGGAGGGACCACACUUAGAGGGCUCUACAUGGGACCUCUUCUUUUUGCCAUUUCCACGAUGUGCUGGGCCGCGUCUUGGUGGGGCUUCAGAUGUGAAGUCAAUAGUCCUCACUAGAGAGAACUCAACAUGGAGGCGGGUUGCUCCACAGUGUUGGUGGCUUGUGACUGUUAUCUGCCUGGCAGCCUACUCUGAAGCAGGCAGGCCUCUCUGGAGAGGCUCCUUCAUCAUCUGGGUACUGUCGAGGUCUCCUUCAGAUGGAUGGUUCUACCUACAGGUAGGAAACCCACAACUGUGCUGUCACCUGGCCACGGACCCACGAUGGUGGCCAUUUGCAUGAACGAGUGACCCCGUGAACAGGGGAAGUGGCUCUUUCACAGGUUCAUCUACCCACAGUCCUCCUCUCAGACCUUCUUCUCCUGUGUGUGUAGGUUCCAGAUUCAGAGUCACCAGCAUCCCAAACGGAGCUUUUUAAGAAGCAGAGUCUGACAAAUGGGCUGCCAAGGAGGCCACUUAGUGACAAGCUGUACAAGAGCAGUGGGAAACCAAACAAGAACCACCACCGCGUGAGGGCACGGAGAGACGUUGCCAGUCAUCAGAGUAAGGGAUGGCACUGGGACAGACGGGGCAAGUCCCGGCAUGGCUCACAGCACAGUCGGGAGAACGGACGUGUCAUUCUGAGGCAGGUGACCAUGGACCAGUAUCAUUCCUAAGAUGCUUUUGGGAUCUCACCAGUCAUGAUACCCUACAGCCAGCCUGUGUACUUGCUGCUGAGCACAAAGAUGGACUUGAAGGGUCUGAGCCCAGAAUCUCAAACCCUCAGGGACACCUGCACUGAGCUGCAAACAUGAACCUCUUCUCUCCAGCUUUCCCAGGACGUCUCAGCCUUUGUAUGGCUCUCCUGUGAACCCUGCAAUCCCGACCUAAUCACAGAGUAGGAACCUCCUUUCCUUCAAAUCCUGAAUGACCACCUCC